rnacentral:rRNA from 1 species
UACGGAGGGUGCGAGCGUUAUCCGGAAUCACUGGGUUUAAAGGGUGCGUAGGCGGCUCGGUAAGUCAGUUGUGAAAGCCCCUUGCUUAACGAGGGAGGUGCGAUUGAUACUGUCGAGCUUGAAUCGGGAUGAGGCAGGCGGAAUGUGGCAUGUAGCGGUGAAAUGCAUAGAGAUGCCAGAGAACACCGAUUGCGAAGGCAGCCUGCUGGGCCUGUAUUGACGAUGAGGCACGAAAGAGUGGGGAGCAAACAGG